rnacentral:rRNA from 1 species
AUUGAACGCUGGCGGCAUGCUUUACACAUGCAAGUCGAACGGUAACAGGCCGCCAGGUGCUGCCGAGUGGCGAACGGGUGCGUAAUGCAUCGGAACGUGCCCAGUCUUGGGGGAUAACUACUCGAAAGAGUAGCUAAUACCACAUACGAUCUAUGGAUGAAAGCGGGGGACCGUAAGGCCUCGCGCGAUUGGAGCGGCCGAUGUCAGAUUAGGUAGUUGGUGGGGUAAAGGCUCACCAAGCCAACGAUCUGUAGCUGGUCUGAGAGGACGACCAGCCACACUGGGACUGAGACACGGCCCAGACUCCUACGGGAGGCAGCAGUGGGGAAUGUUGGACAAUGGGCGCAAGCCUGAUCCAGCAAUGCCGCGUGCAGGAAGAAGGCCUUCGGGUUGUAAACUGCUUUUGUACGGAACGAAACGGCUCUGGUUAAUACCCGGGGCUAAUGACGGUACCGUAAGAAUAAGCACCGGCUAACUACGUG